rnacentral:rRNA from 1 species
GACGAACGCUGGCGGCGUGCUUAACACAUGCAAGUCGAGCGGUAAGGCCCUUUCGGGGUACGACGAGCGGCGAACGGGUGAGUAACACGUGGGUGACCUGCCCUCAGCUCUGGGAUAAGCCCGGGAAACUGGGUCUAAUACUGGAUAUGACUCCACGGUGCAUGCCGUGGGGUGGAAAGCCUUGUGCGGCUGAGGAUGGGCCCGCGGCCUAUCAGCUUGUUGGUGGGGUGANGGCCUACC